UACGUAGGGCGCAAGCGUUGUCCGGAAUUAUUGGGCGUAAAGAGCUCGUAGGCGGCUUGUCGCGUCAACUGUGAAAACCCGUGGCUCAACCAUGUGGUCUGCAGUCGAUACGGGCAGGCUAGAAUUCGGUAGGGGAGACUGGAAUUCCUGGUGUAGCGGUGAAAUGCGCAGAUAUCAGGAGGAACACCGGUGGCGAAGGCGGGUCUCUGGGCCGAUAUUGACGCUGAGGAGCGAAAGCGUGGGGAGCAAACAGG
rnacentral:rRNA from 1 species